rnacentral:rRNA from 1 species
CGGGUGAGUAACACGUGGAUAACCUACCUAUAAGACUGGGAUAACUUCGGGAAACCGGAGCUAAUACCGGAUAAUAUAUUGAACCGCAUGGUUCAAUAGUGAAAGACGGUUUUGCUGUCACUUAUAGAUGGAUCCGCGCUGCAUUAGCAGUUGGUAAGGUAACGGCUUACCAAGGCAACGAUGCGUAGCCGACCUGAGAGGGUGAUCGGCCACACUGGAACUGAGACACGGUCCAGACUCCUACGGGAGGCAGCAGC